GGCUCUGCUCUAGGCCAACAUCCCCAGGUUUGAAUGCUACCUGCCAAGCUGACCUGUCUUCUGCAGCUGUCUAAUCUGUCUCACAAAAAAUAGACCUAAUUCAAAUCAUCACAUCUGAUGUUGUAGUGCCCUUCAAAGUUACCAUCGUUAUCACCACCUUCAAGAAGAAAGGAGAGAGAGUGGGCUGGAGAAACAUCGUAGAAUUUCACUGCUCUCCACCAAAAGAGAAAUCUUAGUCAAAGUGCUUCUGAGACAGCUCCUGAAGAGAUCUUUAACCACGCGUUUCCAGGAUGUCAGGGUGCCUUCAGUGAGGUAUAUUAGACAUCAUUCCUGCUGCGUGUCAGAUUCCGGAGAAAUGCAGAGAACAAUAUUAAGAUCUCUACAAAGGACUUUGAGAUCUUACCAACACAUCUGACACCAUCAGCAGGCCUGAGUCUUGGCAACUACUAAAAAAAAAAAAGAAAGUUUGGUGGUUCUGAAAAGUUUAUCAAGAUCUAAAUCUACUAGCAGAGCCCAGGAUGUGCAUUGUAACACGAUCCUUGAAAAUACGGGACCUGAAUAAUGCCAAGGCUAAGAAGCUGCACAGUGCAAACCAUCAUGUGUCCAGAACACACUUAGCACGGAGGUCUGGCUGAUUUGCACUGACGUUUACAUAAAUGCUGCUACACUCUGCUACACUCACCCCCUUAUUGCUGCAACUGCUGCUUUCAACUACUUUGCUGCCAUCAGAUCUGUUGACCUCAAGGAUAGUGUGGCCUAGACUACAAAGCACAGGCCUGGGAGCCAGAGGGCCCGGGUUUUAAUCCUAGCUCUGCCACUUGACUGCUGUGUGACCUUGGAGACAGCUGAUUGUGCAGUUCUUUUUGUAAAGUCUUCCCACCAGAAUUGUGCAAGAGAGUUGACAUUCGAAACAAACAUCUGCGAGGACCAAGGCAAGCUGAUAUCAGAGGGAUUCAGCAGAUUAGUGGCACAGCAACUCCUGAGGGUUAAAUCAAAUUCCCCAAUUCCCCCAAAAUAAGAUUUUCAACAUCUACAUUUUAAAAUCCUUCCUUUUAUAUCUUCUUUUUUAUCCUUUUAAUGUUAUCAUUUUUAGAAUGAAUUAAUUUCUCC